GAUGAACGCUGGCGGCGUGCCUAAUACAUGCAAGUUGAGCGAACGGACGAGAAGCUUGCUUCUCUGAUGUUAGCGGCAGACGGGUGAGUAACACGUGGACAACCUACCUAUAAGACUGGGAUAACUUCGGGAAACCGUAGCUAAUACCGGAUAAUAUUUUGAACCGCAUGGUUCAAAAGUGAAAGACGGUCUUGCUGUCACUUAUAGAUGGAUCCGCGCUGCAUUAGCUAGUUGGUAAGGUAACGGCUUACCAAGGCAACGAUGCAUAGCCGACCUGAGAGGGUGAUCGGCCACACUGGAACUGAGACACGGUCCAGACUCCUACGGGAGGCAGCAGUAGGGAAUCUUCCGCAAUGGGCGAAGGCCUGACGGAGCAACGCCGCGUGAGUGAUGAAGGUCUUCGGAUCGUAAAACUCUGUUAUUAGGGAAGAACAUAUGUGUAAGUAACUGUGCACAUCUUGACGGUACCUAAUCAGAAAGCCACGGCUAACUACGUG
rnacentral:rRNA from 1 species